GGGAUUGCCUUAGUAACGGCGAGUGAAGCGGCAACAGCUCAAAUUUGAAAUCUGGCCCUCGGGUCCGAAUUGUAAUUUGUAGAGGAUGAUUUUGGUGCGGUAUCUUCCGAGUUCCUUGGAACAGGACGCCUUAGAGGGUGAGAGCCCCGUACGGUUGAAUGCCUAGCCUCUGUAAAUCCCCUUCGACGAGUCGAGUAGUUUGGGAAUGCUGCUCUAAAUGGGAGGUAAAUUUCUUCUAAAGCUAAAUAUUGGCCAGAGACCGAUAGCGCACAAGUAGAGUGAUCGAAAGAUGAAAAGCACUUUGAAAAGAGGGUUAAAUAGCACGUGAAAUUGUUGAAAGGGAAGGAUUUGUGACCAGACUUUUUCUGGGCGGAUCAUCCGGGGUUCUCUCCGGUGCACUUUGCCCAGUAAAGGCCAGCAUCGAUUUUCGGCGGCGGAUAAAAGCAGUGGGAAUGUGGCUCCCUACGGGGAGUGUUAUAGCCCAUUGUAUAAUACGCUGCUGGGGAUCGAGGUACGCGCUUCUGCAAGGAUGCUGGCGUAAUGGUUAUCAAUCACCC
rnacentral:rRNA from 1 species